AUAAUGGGUCAGCGACUUAUAUUCUGUAGCAAGGUUAACCGAAUAGGGGAGCCGAAGGGAAACCGAGUCUUAACUGGGCGUUAAGUUGCAGGGUAUAGACCCGAAACCCGGUGAUCUAGCCAUGGGCAGGUUGAAGGUUGGGUAACACUAACUGGAGGACCGAACCGACUAAUGUUGAAAAAUUAGCGGAUGACUUGUGGCUGGGGGUGAAAGGCCAAUCAAACCGGGAGAUAGCUGGUUCUCCCCGAAAGCUAUUUAGGUAGCGCCUCGUGAAUUCAUCUCCGGGGGUAGAGCACUGUUUCGGCAAGGGGGUCAUCCCGACUUACCAACCCGAUGCAAACUGCGAAUACCGGAGAAUGUUAUCACGGGAGACACACGGCGGGUGCUAACGUCCGUCGUGAAGAGGGAAACAACCCAGACCGCCAGCUAAGGUCCCAAAGUCAUGGUUAAGUGGGAAACGAUGUGGGAAGGCCCAGACAGCCAGGAUGUUGGCUUAGAAGCAGCCAUCAUUUAAAGAAAGCGUAAUAGCUCACUGGUCGAGUCGGCCUGCGCGGAAGAUGUAACGGGGCUAAACCAUGCACCGAAGCUGCGGCAGCGACGCUGAUGCGUUGUUGGGUAGGGGAGCGUUCUGUAAGCCUGCGAAGGUGUGCUGUGAGGCAUGCUGGAGGUAUCAGAAGUGCGAAUGCUGACAUAAGUAACGAUAAAGCGGGUGAAAAGCCCGCUCGCCGGAAGACCAAGGGUUCCUGUCCAACGUUAAUCGGGGCAGGGUGAGUCGACCCCUAAGGCGAGGCCGAAAGGCGUAGUCGAUGGGAAACAGGUUAAUAUUCCUGUACUUGGUGUUACUGCGAAGGGGGGACGGAGAAGGCUAUGUUGGCCGGGCGACGGUUGUCCCGGUUUAAGCGUGUAGGCUGGUUUUCCAGGCAAAUCCGGAAAAUCAAGGCUGAGGCGUGAUGACGAGGCACUACGGUGCUGAAGCAACAAAUGCCCUGCUUCCAGGAAAAGCCUCUAAGCAUCAGGUAACAUCAAAUCGUACCCCAAA
rnacentral:rRNA from 1 species